GGGCCUUCGGAAAUGCUGAGAUAUAAAAUAGUCAGAUUCCCACCCUGAAGUCUUCGGUGGCUGAAGAGAAGACUGUACCUGUCUCAUAUAGUAUCUUUGAUUAAGUGCAAUAGCAGCCUCUUGGAAAGUACAAUCAGAUGUCUUUGGCUGUUUUUUUUCCCCAAGAGCUGGAGAUACUUGUUGCACACACAAAUCCAUCAGGACUGAGAUUCACACAUUAUAUAGGCAGCAUGAGGACUGCAGCUUAUUGGAUAGUUUUUGAAGAAAGAUUUUUUUCAUUCAAUUUUAUUUCGCUGGAAUUUUUCUGCUUGUCCAAUCCAAAAUGUUUCAGGGCGACUGUGUUGAUAUCAUGGACAGUCUGCUAUAAACCCAGCAUACCGCUGGGACUCGGUCCUGCCCACCAGUAGCUUGUAGUUACCCUAAAAGGGGGCUGCCCGUGGCUGUUGAACAACAGCAGCAGUUGAACACCGGUCAGUUGGUCCUAAGCAAUAGGCGAGUGCCGUUCUGAAAGAGCGGACAAUGGCCUCCGUUGCCCUCAGCCAAUCAAAAGGGAGUCGGGUUCAGAUCCCUGAAUCCAGAGUGGUGGAGACGGGUGCCGCGAGGUGCCCAGUGCGGUGACGCAACCGAUCCCGGGGAAGCCAGCGGGAGCCCCGGGGAGAGUUCUCUUUUCUUUGUGAAGGGCCAGGUGCCCUGGAAUGGGUUCACCCCAAGAGAGGGACCCGCGCCUUGGAACCAAUCAAAAGGGAGUCGGGUUCAGAUCCCUGAAUCCAGAGUGGUGGAGACGGGUGCCGCGAGGUGCCCAGUGCGGUGACGCAACCGAUCCCGGGGAAGCCAGCGGGAGCCCCGGGGAGAGUUCUCUUUUCUUUGUGAAGGGCCAGGUGCCCUGGAAUGGGUUCACCCCAAGAGAGGGGCCCGCGCCUUGGAAAGCGUCGCGGUUCCGGCGUCGUCCGGUGAGCUCUCGCUGGCCCGUGAAAAUCCAGGGGAGAGGGUGUAAGUCUCGCGCCGGGCUGUACCCAUAUCCGCAGCAGGUCUCCAAGGUGAACAGCCUCUAGCGUGUUGGAACAAUGUAGGUAAGGGAAGUCGGCAAGCCGGAUCCGUAACUUCGGGAUAAGGAUUGGCUCUAAGGGCUGGGUCGGUUGGGCUCCAAGUAGACCCUGACUGAGCCCUGUCAGCCAAACCUCCAGGAACCUGAAUGCCUUCUGGACUCUUGAACUAUCCUUGAAAAUACAGCAAUGCGUGAAUAGAUAAUGAUAUUCUAGGACAUCAAGACCUCCUCAUCUUCAUGGACAGUCAUAUCUCUCCUUCCAUAAUAAUCAAGCCCUACCUACAGCUAGGUACCUUUUUGGUACCCAUUACUCCUGUUUAGAGAAGUUAAACAGAUGGAGGCCUUCAAGUGCUCUCUCACAAAGCAGACUUGCCAUUUCUUUGAUUAGCUCUAUUCUGUACUUGCGGAAUUUGAUCUUUAUGUUUCUGAAAGUGCCUGAUGAGAACUGUACAGAUUGUUCCAGACGAGGUCUCUCUGGGGCUGUG
rnacentral:ncRNA from 1 species